UACAGAGGUCCCAAGCGUUGUUCGGAUUCAUUGGGCGUAAAGGGUGCGUAGGUGGCGUCGUAAGUCGGGUGUGAAAUCUCGGGGCUUAACUCCGAAACUGCAUUCGAUACUGCGGUGCUUGAGGACUGGAGGAGGAGACGUGGAAUUUACGGUGUAGCAGUGAAAUGCGUAGAGAUCAUGAGGAAGACCAGUGGCGAAGGCGGGUCUCUGGACAGUUCCUGACACUGAGGCACGAAGGCCAGGGGAGCAAACGGG
rnacentral:rRNA from 1 species